UACGAAGGGUGCUAGCGUUGUUCGGAAUCACUGGGCGUAAAGCGCGCGUAUGCGGCUAUUCAAGUCAGGGGUGAAAUCCUGAGGCUCAACCUCAGAAUUGCCUCUGAAACUGUGUAGCUAGAGUGUCGGAGGGGAUAGCGGAAUUCCUAAUGUAGAGGUGAAAUUCGUAGAUAUUAGGAGGAACACCGGUGGCGAAGGCGGCUAUCUGGACGACAACUGACGCUGAGGCGCGAAAGCGUGGGUAUCAAACAGG
rnacentral:rRNA from 1 species